AAUUUCGCUCAAAAGACCUAGCCGCCGUCCCCAACUAGUUCUUUCCCAAAUCGAACCCUAGAGAGCCCUCCUCCCCCACCGUCGCCGCCGCCGACACUCCCUCUGCCCUCGACCGCGCCCUCCACCACCGACCCCUCUGCCCUCGAAUGCGCCUUCCACCAUCGACCCCCUCCGCUGAUCUGUGCGACCUCCACCCAUGUCGAUGACGCCAGUGCGUAGAGGUCAACCUCGCCUCCCUCCACACGCCUUUGGUUUCGCUCCCUUUGGCACCGCCACAAGGACUGGUUGACGGGGCUGGUGCGUCGAGGUCGACACCGGCUUGCUUCCCACCAUGUCUCCCGCCACCCUGACGACGAGCACGGUGUCUGCUCCACACUACCCUAGUACAACAUGGUGCUCAGAUCUGUCAUGGAGGAAACGCGAUGCAGGUGUGAUUUUUCCAUACAAAGAAGCUCUCCUUUUCUGCUUGAUGAAAACUCACAAGAUGCUAUCGCGUUAUCUUCUAUCUUCUCCUUGCUGCACAUUUUCCCUACCUUCCACCGAGUCAGUACUUGGAUCCAAGUCUUUCUUAUUGCUACUUAUUUUUAUUUUGCUACUAAAUUGAUGCAGGUGCUACCAGUGAAAGGAUUGGAGAUUGGUUCUAGUAGUUGUAGGUUCGUUUGGAAUUCAUAAUGCUCAUGAUUUGCAAAGCCUAUCAGCCAGAACACGUUGAUGCAUAGCAUUAAAUGCUUGCCUAAAAGAGUCCACAGCUCCUUGCGCUCAAGAAUUAUAUUGUCUGACCUCCUAAGGGUCGUUGAGGAGUUGGCAUAUAAUAGCAGCGACACAAACACUUAAAAAGAAAGUGCUAGUACAUUGGAUAAGAACAUUGGCACAUGUGACUGGGAGCCCAAAAGACUAUUUCCUGGACGGUGUUCUAUGGAAUCUUCACAUACAUGAAACUAAAAUUUAUAUCAUAGGUUGGAAAUGUUCCUGAAGACGGGUUAAGAUACCUUGUCGUAACCAUAUGCUUUGAGCUCACCUAGAAGACCUUACAAGCUUUACUCUUUGUUCUUGUUCCAUUCUGUACAACUUGGACGCCUUGAAACUGCAAAUACUAAAUUAUGAUGUAGAUCUUCACAUGUAAACAGUGAAUUGCAUAUGUUUGUAACAUUGUAAAUGUUUGAUGAACAGAAUUUAUAAUAUGAAUGUGAAGUACUUGUGCAGAUUCCUUCUGGUUUAUUUCAAUGGAUGCCUCGUCAUUGUGUAUCUAAAUGUAAAAUAAAUGAAGAAAUGCAAUACUAAAGUGUAAUAAUGAUAUAGAUUGGGAAAUAGGAUACCACUGGCAUAUUAUCUGCCGGGAAAACUAUUAACUGCCGGGAGAACAAGUCUGCCGAGAGAAUAGAAACUGCCAAGAGAAAUUGGAACAUGAGGGCAUACAAACUGCCGGGAGAUCUUUAUCUGUCGGGAAUUAUAAUCCCCGACAGUCAUUCUUCUGGCAGUUCUGUCUGCCGGGAGAAAACCAUUCCCGGCAGUUUGCCUGCCGUUCUAAGUCACUUCUCCCGGCAGUUUUUCUAUCCUUGCGUCAGUGUUGUGGUGUAGAGUCGUCAACCUCGCCUCCGUCCACACGCCUCUGGUUUCGCUCCCUUCGGCACCGCCACAAGGACUGGUUGACGGGGCCGGUGCGUCAAGGUGGACGUCUCCUUGCUUCCCACCACGUCUCCCGCCACCCUGACGACGAGCGCAGUGUCUGCUCCCCACUACGCUACUACAACAUGGUGUUCAGAUCUGUCAUGGAGGAAAUGCGAUGCAGGUGCUACCAGCGAAAGGAUUGGAGAUUGGUUCUAGUAGUUGUAGGUUUGUUUGGAAUUCAUAAUGCUCAUGAUUUGCAAAAGCUAUCAGCCAGGUUAUUGUACCCUUACUCUUGUAUUUCAUUUUCUUAUCUUAAUAUGCAUGUAUAUGUGCCUAUGAUUUGUAAAAUGUAAUGUUCUUCUAUCCAGCCAAUUUUAGUGACAUGGACGGGUCUUUGUUUAUUCAGGUUCAGCCAUUGCACAACUGAAGGCAAGUGUUUCACAGCUUGAGAAAGUUUACUCACUAAUGGCUGACUGUAUACAACUCUAGAAAGUUUCUUGUGCUAGCAUCUACAAGAACUAAAUUAUUGACAUGAGUUGAUAUUGAAAAUUGCUCUACAAAAUUAACUACUUUUCCUUCCCUGAUUUAUCAUCUACCAAAUUGUUUCAUUGCAGUUCAGUGGUGCCCUAUCUGAAUACUCAACCUGCAUGAAACAUUGCACUGGGCAGAAAAUAAUUUUAGAAAGGAAUGCCGUAAGUUGCUGGCAUUGCCAUCAGGCUAUCACACACUGCACUAAAUUGGGCUUGUUGGACCAUGCAGGGUCUGCACCAGAUAAUAGAAGCCCUGCAAGGGCCAACACGGCUAUGGUUUGCUUGUGAGGAGGGGUCGAUUUUCUGAGUUGCAGCCUAAAUAAUUUGUAUCUUAUGAUCCAGAAAAGGAAAGAAAAACAAUCUGUUUCUUACCGUGUUGGUUGGUUGGCUACACGCACAUUUCCUAUGAACCAUGCCUUAAUAGUCGAGCCGCCACUAUAAUCGCACAUCGUGAUCAGUCCUCCCUCGAUGAAGUAGCAUACCGACAAGUUAGUUAAUUUUCUGAAGUUCCUAGAAUAAUUUUUUGACGCUGCCUGCUUCGAUGCACUUUAUUCUUAACCAUUGGCUGAUCUAAGCUCUUUUUUUACCAGAACACGUCGAUGCAUAGCAUUAAACGCUUGCCCAAAAGAGUCCACAGCUCCCUGCGCUCAAGCAUUAUAUUGUCUGACCUCCUGAGGGUCGUUGAGGAGUUGGCAUAUAAUAGCUGCGACACAAAUGCUUAAAAGAAAGUGCUAGUACAUUGGAUAAGAACAUUGGCACAUGUGACUGGGAGCCCAAAAGACUAGUUGGAAAUGUUCCUAAAGACGGGUUAAGAUACCUUGCCGUAACCAUAUGUUCUGAGCUCACCUAGAAGACCUUACAAGCUUUGCUCUUUGCUCUUGUUCCAUUUUGUACAACUUGGACGCCUUGAAACUGCAGAUACUAAAUUAUGAUGUAGUUCUUCACACGUAAUCAGUAAAUUGCAUAUAUUUUUAACCUUGUAAAUGUUUGAUGAAUAGAAUUUAUAAUAUGAAUGUGAAGUACUU